rnacentral:rRNA from 1 species
CCGGUGUGAGUAGCGAAAGACGGGUGAGAAUCCCGUCCACCGAUUGACUAAGGUUUCCAGAGGAAGGCUCGUCCGCUCUGGGUUAGUCGGGUCCUAAGCUGAGGCCGACAGGCGUAGGCGAUGGAUAACAGGUUGAUAUUCCUGUACCACCUAUAAUCGUUUUAAUCGAUGGGGGGACGCAGUAGGAUAGGCGAAGCGUGCGAUUGGAUUGCACGUCUAAGCAGUAAGGCUGAGUAUUAGGCAAAUCCGGUACUCGUUAAGGCUGAGC